CCUACGGGCGGCUGCAGUGAGGAAUAUUGGUCAAUGGACGAGAGUCUGAACCAGCCAAGUAGCGUGAAGGAUGACUGCCCUAUGGGUUGUAAACUUCUUUUAUAUGGGAAUAAAACAGGGUAUGCAUACCCUCUUGUAUGUACCAUAUGAAUAAGGAUCGGCUAACUCCGUGCCAGCAGCCGCGGUAAUACGGAGGAUGCGAGCGUUAUCCGGAUUUAUUGGGUUUAAAGGGUGCGUAGGCGGUCCGGAAAGUCAGCGGUAAAAGCCCGGGGCUCAACCCCGGCGAGCCGUUGAAACUGUCGGACUAGAGACGGCGAGAAGUACGCGGAAUGCGCGGUGUAGCGGUGAAAUGCAUAGAUAUCGCGCAGAACUCCGAUUGCGAAGGCAGCGUACCGGCGCCGGACUGACGCUGAGGCACGAAAGCGUGGGUAUCGAACAGGAUUAGAUACCCCAGUAGUC
rnacentral:rRNA from 1 species